GGGUCCAUAGCUCAGUUGGCAGAGCAACCGUCUUUUAAGCGGUCGGCCGAAGGUUCGAGCCCUUCUGGACCCACCA
rnacentral:tRNA from 1 species